rnacentral:rRNA from 1 species
CACUGCAAGUCGAGCGGCCGUAGCUUUACGUCAGCGGCAGACGGGUGAGUAACGCGUGGGAACAUACCUCUUGGUUCGGAACAACACAGGGAAACUUGUGCUAAUACCGGAUAAGCCCUUACGGGGAAAGAUUUAUCGCCGAGAGAUUGGCCCGCGUCUGAUUAGCUAGUUGGUAGGGUAAUGGCCUACCAAGGCGACGAUCAGUAGCUGGUCUGAGAGGAUGAUCAGCCACAUUGGGACUGAGACACGGCCCAAACUCCUACGGGAGGCAGCAGUGGGGAAUAUUGGACAAUGGGGGCAACCCUGAUCCAGCCAUGCCGCGUGAGUGAUGAAGGCCCUAGGGUUGUAAAGCUCUUUUGUGCGGGAAGAUAAUGACGGUACCGCAAGAAUAAGCCCCGGCUAACUUCGUGCCAGCAGCCGCGGUAAUACGAAGGGGGCUAGCGUUGCUCGGAAUCACUGGGCGUAAAGGGUGCGUAGGCGGGUUUUUAAGUCAGGGGUGAAAUCCUGGAGCUCAACUCCAGAACUGCCUUUGAUACUGAAGAUCUUGAGUCCGGGAGAGGUGAGUGGAACUGCGAGUGUAGAGGUGAAAUUCGUAGAUAUUCGCAAGAACACCAGUGGCGAAGGCGGCUCACUGGCCCGGUACUGACGCUGAGGCACGAAAGCGUGGGGAGCAAACAGGAUU